rnacentral:tRNA from 1 species
CAGGGGGUAGUUUAAUAAGAAAUCCAGCUUUGGGUGGUGGUGGUGGGGCUUUGGCCUCUCCCCUG